GGAUUGGUAAAAAGAACCAACGGCACAAUCAAAACUCAAUUGGCAAAACUUUCAGAAGCAUUUAAUCUCUCACGGCCGAAGGCUCUUCCACUAGCGCUCCUCAAUCUUAGAUCUACACCCUUUGGUAAACAUCGACUGUCUCCUUUCGAGAUAAUAACCGGACGGCCUAUGCAAUUAAAGGAAGGAAUGUAUGAACCAACUUUACUUAAAGGAGACAUUUUACAUUAUUGUCAAGGUCUCAUUGAGGCACUUAAAAGAAAUGAAAGAUUGGUAGCUGAUUCUUUCACAGAGAAUUCCCAGAACUUAAGGAUCUGGGACUGUAACCUGAAGAAUUUAUUUAUUGAAAGAGACAUCAAAUAAGACUGUUUGUAGCCCUGUUGAAAAGGACCGUACCAGGAGGAGAAGAAGACGACGUCUGUUGCAGACAGCUGUCCCAAGACUCCGGACCAGGCCUGUAUUCCCAACCUUAUAUCUCUUCAUUUAAACAUUUGUUAUGUUUAAACUGUAUACGUAUUUUAUAAUUUGUUUGGAAUAUUAUUAUACUUAAAGAAAGUGAUUAAUUUGGAACAGACUGGUUUUGAGGGCCAGGCAUUUAUCGAGUGACUCCCAAUGGAACUCAAUGGUUAUGUGGAACAAAUCUUUGGCCUUGGCUACUGCCUGGAUGGCUAAAACACUGCACCCUGAGUUUCCUUUAAAAGCAGGGAAGGAGUCAGGCUGAGUUAAAACCUGUUGCCAACCUCCCUCUCUUUAAGGCCAGAUGGGCUUGUUCGGUGUUACACUGGUAUGGCUAUAUUUGCAGCUAUAUUUACUUCUUCUUUGGGGCUAAAAGAUGUCAUUAUUACAUAUGAAAGCUCUGACUAAAUUUACUCAAGAAGCCCUUAAUGAUAGUCAAGCAGGAAUAGCCUUAUUCAAAUGCUGAAAUGUCUGUAAUGAGAGGGGCUGUCCUUCAAAACAGAAUGGCUUUAGAUAUUCUUACUGCAUCCCAAGGUGGUACAUAUACAGUCAUUCAGACUGGAUGCUGUGCUUUUACACCUGAUGAAUCUUCCAAUGUGUCAUCUCUGCUGAAGCACAUGAAGAAGCAAGUGGAUGCCUUAUGCGAUCUGACACCCAGUCUUGAAUUGUUUGGUUAGCUCCCUUCCCCUAUCAGUUCCCUUUUCCGAUCCAGAUUAGAAUUCCUAUUUCUACUACUUCUUGGAAUUCUUGUACUAGUCAUAAUAUUCAAACUAAUUGUUGUUUUCUUUACUCAGUGUUGUAAGAGUAGCAUACAACCUAGAGUAAUGAUUGCUCUAUGGCUUGAGAUGGUCGAUCUGUCUUAUAACCCUGGACAAAUUUCCUUUUCUGAUAGGGACUAUGACUAAGAAUUCAUUUCAGACCAAUCCUUUUAAAAAUGCUGAGUUAUUAUUGUUACUGUGCUUGUUCUAUAAUCAUAUGCAAUGUAAAUGUGAAGUGUCAUAGAAAAGCACAUAUACAAUGUUUGUGCAACAACCUAAAAUUAAUUGGAAAUUACAUGACAUAUGAAAUGCUUCCUCUGUUAAUAUAUAUAACUCCAUGCUUGUCCACUAUUUCCCCCCAACAUGGUCGACUAGGCAAAUAAAUGAGAUAAAAGCCUAGCAGCGAGGGACACGAUGGACCCAGGGCAGGCAGCAACCACCCUGGUGCCGAGGGACAAUAUUUUGAUCAUCAAUGAUUUCUAUCAAAAGAUUAUAGAUCAAAAGGGGAAAAUGACAAAUAAAAAUGGCAAGUAAUAGGAUAUAUUGGAGUAUAUGAGGAAGCCAUUUUGUGUAAACCUAAUUUGGCCUGACCUUGUCUUUCCAAAAGGGCCUGACCAAGGCCGUUGAGCAAGCAUUGUAUAUCUGCUUUAGAGAUUCCCUAUGGCCAGAACAAAGGCCCUUGAGAUAAAGGUGCAACUUCCCUCCCCCUCCCAAUGUUGGCAUCUCCUUAAAGACCAAGCAUCUUUCUUUAAGCUGGGAACCGAUUGCAGCACUCAUCUGUGACCACCCAGCCCGAGGCAACACACCUGCCACCCUGCGGCGUUCACUGAGACAGCAGACCUAUCUGCCAUUUCCAUCAAUCGCUGUGCUGACAGAGCAGCUUCGUGGCUAUUGUAAAAGGGACAUUUCAGUCACAUGUGAAACAUACUCUUUGAGGGUAUAUAACCACCCUGUAUACCCCCACUUCUUUGGAGUGCUCUGUUCCUUUGUAGAAGAACUCUCCCGGGUUAUAAUCCUCAGAUUUAAGCUCAGAAUAUACUCACCCAAAUUUUCAUUUAUAGAUUGGUUAUGGAUUACUUUUCAUCGACACAGUGAUCAUUUUCAUAUAUAUUAUUGUUUUCAGCAAACGGGGAUCCUGGAGUUUAAGCAACUUCAGCUUCAUGGAAAUCUGCCUCUACCCCAGACAAUUUGUCCCUGUCUCUGGGCCUCAGUUUCCCAUUUGUAAAAUGAGGGUGAGCCUGCCCACUUUCCAAAGCUGAUUUGAGGGUUAAAUGAAGGGGAAAAUAUAUGCCAAGAUAUCAUUAUAUUCUCUGAUUCCUAAAGAGGAAUGCUUGGAGCCAGGGUGUGAGGGCAACUAGUUGAUCCGUCCCCAAUGGGAGGGGAGAGUGGCAGAGGGCAUCCCAGCUUAGCAUUCUGCAUGUGGGAGAACCAACGAGUUCAGAGGACUAGCCCUCUCAUAAAGAUAGUGAAAUGACCCCUUGUCACCAAUCACUGUUUUUGGUUUUCAGGAUUAUUUUUCACAAGAUUCUUUCCAAAAUGGCCCUCAAUGCAUUUCUGGAGGAGGGGCUUUGCCCAUAAUUGGGCUCAGAGAGACUUUUCACCCCAGAGGCAGCUCACCGGGACCUGCAAGAAAUGCUUUGCUUCUGGAAGGUCAUGUCCCACAAGGAAGGAAACCGGAUCAGGCAGAUCCGCGGGACGGGGAGUGUAUCCUACCUGAUCUUCUCCCCAACCCCACCUGCAUCGCCCUCAUCAUCAGUCAGCAGAACACCCAGCCACGUGCCUAGCCCUGGCUUUGUUCUGACCCGGGACCCCGAGAUGAGCCAGGCUCUGUGCCUGCCCUGUGGAAGUUCAUAGUUCUGAAGAGAUUGAGUGGCAGGUCACCAGCUCUGGGAAAAGCCAGCUGGCACAUCGUGGAAACACUCAAGCAGCCUCCCAGAGAGCCCUGUGUGGUACAGGACUGGGGCUUUCUGCCGACAGCCAGCCACGCACUGGGCUCUCCCACCAACAGCCAUGUGAGUAAGCCAUCAUGGAAGCAGAUCCUCUGGUUCCAGUCGAGCCUUCGGAUGACUGCAGCACCAGUCGACAGCUUGGCUGUAAUCUCAAGAGAGACCUAGAGCAUAACCACCCGGCUAAGCUGCUCCCAAAUUUCUGAUCCACCAACACUGUGAGAUAAUAAAUAUUUGUUACUUAAAUGUAACAUUUAUGUCUGCUGUUUUUGCAGCAAUAGAUAACUAAUACAGGGACCUAGACCACCAAGAUCUUAUUCCCCUAACUGUCUUUCCUGGAGAGAACGAGG
rnacentral:lncRNA from 1 species